GCAACUGCGUGGUGGCACUUUCAGCUCCCAAACCUGGUGCUGCAUGUCCCAGAACCACCUGGGAGCUUUUUAAAAGCCGAUCUGCUGUGCCCUGGCCCAGAUCCACCAAGUGCAUCAGAAUCUCAGAGGUAGGCCCCAGAAUCUGUGUUUUUAAUACUGUAAGUCAUUCCGUACAACCCAGUUUGGGAAUAACUACCCCACAGGCCAACGGACCUGCCUCCUCUCCCCGUCUUCUACAGCUCGUUUCUCCCCACGGGAAGGGAACUGGACUCAUCAAGUUACACCAGCUGACUGUCCGUGUCACUAAGCCUUUUCUGUGGUUUCCAGGAUGAGCCCAAGUCUGUGCUCACAUGUGAGUGGACAGCCCGAAGCCAGAAUCUCCCCUGAGGAAGUGACGUGAGUUUGACUUCUCCUCUGUUGUGAGUUAGGAGAUGAAAGGCAAGUGCAAAAAAUUAUUCAAUUCAAGACAUGCCAGCUGCCUCUCUAUCUUGGAGAGGGGGGCAAAGGUGAGCAAGCCACGUGCUUAAUCUCGGGAGCUGAGCAUGUACGCGGCUGAGCAGGAAGAGGAUGCUGGUGGAAGCAGCAGUUCCUGGGUGGAAGCCAUCUUUGUUGGGACUGUGCUCUGGGAGGAGUACGCUCAAUCAGAACCUGAAAAGUAAGGUUCCUUAGACUGUGCCUGCAGGCCCUGCUCCCAACCAUAUUCCAGGCUGAAAAACGGCAGUCCUUCAACACAUGGCUUCCAAGGCUGUCCAAGUUGCGGCCAAAACAGACAGACAGAAAGGUGGAAAGAACUGCGUCUAAGGCCAGAGAUUCCCUCUCACGCAGGUGAACCGGAAGCUGCUCCCAACAUUUCUGCGCAUGCUCCACUGGGGAGGGCGAGUCACGUGGUCACACUUUGCCGCAGGGUCGGGAGGGGACGGAAACACAGUCCCUGGAAAUGCGGCCAAGAUCCCCACAACCAUUCUAAUACCGAAGCAGGACAGCAGCAUGGAGGGUGGCGACAGCCAGCAGUUUCUCUUCACCUGAUGGAUGCCUCCGUGAUGAACACCUGACUCUGCCUUUUUUUGUUUUGCAAAACAAAAUGCCCAACUUAUUGCUAGACCAGAUUAAUGUCUAUUCCAAAUUGUGAUUAAGAUAUAAGGAUUGAUUAAGUACUUACUUUAUAUGAUGAAAAUUACCAUUCCCUGUUAGCAUAUAAUGUUUUCUAAAUUUAUUGAUACCAUGUUAAUAUGGAAAUAAAUAGAUAUUAAUAGGCGGUGCA
rnacentral:lncRNA from 1 species